rnacentral:rRNA from 1 species
CCUACGGGGUGCAGCAGUGAGGAAUAUUGGUCAAUGGCCGGAAGGCUGAACCAGCCAAGCCGCGUGAGGGAGGAAGGCGCAGAGCGUCGCAGACCUCUUUUGCCGGGGGACAAAAGGCCGGACUCGUCCGGUCCUGAGGGUACCCGGAGAAAAAGCAUCGGCUAACUCCGUGCCAGCAGCCGCGGUAAUACGGAGGAUGCGAGCGUUAUCCGGAUUCAUUGGGUUUAAAGGGUGCGCAGGCGGGCCUUUAAGCCGGCGGUGAAAUCGCGGGGCUCAACUUCGGAAUUGCCUCUGAUACUGUUCGGCUAGAGAGUAGUUGCGGUAGGCGGAAUGUAUGGUGUAGCGGUGAAAUGCUUAGAGAUCAUACAGAACACCGAUUGCGAAGGCAGCUUACCAAGCUACUUCUGACGUUGAGGCACGAAAGCGUGGGGAGCAAACAGGAUUAGAUACCCCAGUAGUC